rnacentral:rRNA from 1 species
UACAGAGGUCUCGAGCGUUAGGCGGAAUCACUGGGCUUAAAGCGUGUGUAGGCGGAUGCCUAAGUACCUUGUGAAAUCCCACGGCUUAACCGUGGAACUGCUUGGUAUACUGGGUGUCUUGAGCCACUCAGGGGCGAGCGGAACAAAUGGUGGAGCGGGUGAAAUGCGUAGAUAUCAUUUGGAACGCCAAUGGUGAAAACAGCUCGCUGGGGGGUGUGCUGACGCUGAGACACGAAAGCCAGGGGAGCGAACGGG